AGUGAACGCUGGCGGUAGGCCUAACACAUGCAAGUCGAAGGGCAGCACAGUAAGAGCUUGCUCUUACGGGUGGCGAGUGGCGGACGGGUGAGGAAUACAUCGGAAUCUACUUUUUCGUGGGGGAUAACGUAGGGAAACGUACGCUAAUACCGCAUACGACCUACGGGUGAGAGCAGGGGAUCUUCGGACCUUGCGCGAGUGAAGGAGCCGAUGUCGGAUUAGCUAGUUGGCGGGGUAAAGGCCCACCAAGGCGACGAUCCGUAGCUGGUCUGAGAGGAUGAUAAGCCACCCCGGAACUGAGACACGGCACAGACUACUCCGGGAGGCAGCAGUGGGGAAUAUUGGACAAUGGGCGCAAGCCUGAUCCAGACCUACCGAGUGGGUGACGAAGGCCUUCGGGUUGUAAAGCCAUUCUGUUGGGAAAGAAAAGCAGCAGGUUAAUACCCCGCUGUUCUGACGGUACCCAAAGAAUAAGCACCGGCUAACUUCGUG
rnacentral:rRNA from 1 species